CUGAGAUGAAGCCGCCCAUGGCCUCAAACUGCUGAAUGACGCGCCGGAGCUCAAAACGACCGGUCGGGUCGUUACAUUGACACAUAGAAUUGAUGAAACUUCUUUAUUCCAACUUCCAGUUCAGUUACAUGGCAGCGAGUUCAAAAAUGGUACCUGAAAAUGGAAUAUGUAACAGAAGAAGAAGAUCAGCAGCAACACGAGCAGCAGUCAAUAAACCAGAAUUCAGCUCAAACUAGGAAUAGUAUUUGAAAAUAAAUCACACCCCAAACAAAACACCACUAAUCGACUGAAAUGCACCCAAAUAGACUCGAAAUACUUCCAAAAUACUUCAGCAGACCCAGAAAUCAAGCUAUAAGACAGAAUUUGAAAGCUAGAACUCAGCCACUAACUGAAAACCUCAAUGAAACAGUAGGUUCCUCAUUUUUUUUUAGUUUUCUGGAGAUUUCUACUGUGUUUGGGAUUUUUGGUUUGAAUUCAAAAGCUAACUCUGAAACUGAAAAAAUGAAAGAAAAAAGUUCAGUGUGAGAUUUUUAGGGGCUGAAAAGAAGACCCCUUCCUAAGGCACGAGAAUGCCAAUUUAUAGGCAACAUAAGAGUCAAUAAUAAGAUUUUUU
rnacentral:lncRNA from 1 species